GGUAACCUAGCUCAGUUGGUAGAGCAUGAAACUCUUAAUCUCAGGGUUGUGGGUUUGGGCCCACGUUGGGCA
rnacentral:tRNA from 1 species